UACGGGGGGAGCAAGCGUUGUUCGGAUUUACUGGGCGUAAAGGGCGCGUAGGCGGUCAGCACAAGUCAGUUGUGAAAUCUCCGGGCUUAACUCGGAAAGGUCAACUGAUACUGUGCGACUAGAGUGCAGAAGGGGCAACUGGAAUUCUCGGUGUAGCGGUGAAAUGCGUAGAUAUGCGGAGGAACACCGAUGGCGAAGGCAAUCCCCUGGACCUGUACUGACGCUCAUGCACGAAAGCGUGGGGAGCAAACAGG
rnacentral:rRNA from 1 species